UACGUAGGUGGCAAACGUUGUCCGGAAUUACUGGGCGUAAAGGGCGAGUAGGUGGUUUAUUAAGUCAGAAGUGAAAACUCCGGGCUCAACUCGGAGACUGCUCCUGAAACUGGUAGACUUGAGUGCAAGAGAGGGAAGUGGAAUUCCUAGUGUAGCGGUGAAAUGCGUAGAUAUUAGGAGGAACACCAGUGGCGAAGGCGACUUCCUGGCUUGUAACUGACACUGAGGCGCGAAAGCGUGGGGAUCAAACAGG
rnacentral:rRNA from 1 species